rnacentral:tRNA from 1 species
GCUCCAGUGGCGCAAUCGGUCAGCGCGCGGUACUUAUAAUGCCGAGGUUGUGAGUUUGAGCCUCACCUGGAGCA